rnacentral:rRNA from 1 species
AUACGGAGGGUGCAAGCGUUAAUCGGAAUUACUGGGCGUAAAGCGUGCGCAGGCGGUUUGUUAAGUCAGAUGUGAAAGCCCCGGGCUCAACCUGGGAACUGCAUUUGAAACUGGCAAACUAGAGUGUGGUAGAGGGAAGUGGAAUUCCUCAUGUAGCGGUGAAAUGCGUAGAUAUGAGGAGGAACACCAGUGGCGAAGGCGACUUCCUGGACCAACGCUGACGCUCAUGUACGAAAGCGUGGGUAGCAAACAGGAUUAGAAACCCCUGUAGUCC